rnacentral:rRNA from 1 species
UNACACGUGAGUGACCUGCCUUUUAGACUGGAACAACUUACCGAAAGGUGAGCUAAUGCCGGAUGAGUUAUAUAAGUGCAUGUUUAUAUAGGAAAAGUUGGGGAGACCUGACGCUGAGAGAUGGACUCGCGUCCCAUUAGCUAGUUGGUAGGGUAAUGGCCUACCAAGGCGACGAUGGGUAGCCGGCCUGAGAGGGUGGCCGGCCACACUGGGACUGAGACACGGCCCAGACUCCUACGGGAGGCAGCAGUGGGGAAUUUUGCGCAAUGCUCGUAAGAGUGACGCAGCGACGCCGCGUGAAUGACGAAGGCCUUCGGGUCGUAAAGUUCUUUCGACAGGGAAGAAAAUGCCUAUAAGUAACUGUGUAUGUAUUGACGGUACCUGUAUAAGCAGCCCCGGCUAACUCCGUGCCAGCAGCCGCGGUAAUACGGAGGGGGCGAGCGUUGUUCGGAGUGACUGGGCGUAAAGAGCACGUAGGCGGUGUUGUAAGUCAUUAGUCAAAGACUAGAGCUCAACCUUAGUAAGGCUAGUGAUACUAUAAUACUAGAGUAUCAGAGAGGAUUGCAGAAUUCCUGGUGUAGCGGUGAAAUGCGUAGAUAUCAGGAGGAAUACCGUUAGCGAAGGCGGCAAUCUGGCUGGAAACUGACGCUGAGGUGCGAAAGCGUGGGUAGCAAACAGGAUUAGAUACCCUGGUAGUCCACGCUGUAAACGAUGGAUGCUAGGUGU